CAGCUGCUGCUGGCAGUGUCAGCAGUGCCUUUUUGUAGGGGGUGCACCACCACACUUAGGGGGUGCACAUGCACCCGUGUGAACCCCCUACACGUUGACCCUGGUUCGUGGCAGGGAAAGUGUGUUUGUGUGUCCAUGUGCAGAGCAUGGACGCAGGCGCAGGGGGCUAUUAGCAGUUCUUAAGGAACCCACAUUGAGCCCAACAGGAGCUGAGGCUCAUUGUGAAGCUCUGAGGGCCUGUUUGCUGCCCACGAGGCAGGUGGCCCUGGAAAAUUUGAGGGAGAUCCAACAGAAACCAAAGAGGCAUCAUGACAGAACGGCUGAGGAGAGAGCUGCCAGUCAACAACAGGGUGUCAGUCCUAUUACCCACCAUGGCCGGUAACCUGCUGACAAAGUGGCAAGGCCCUUGGAAAUAAGAAGGCACGCCGGGCUGGUGGAUGACGAGCUAUUCCAACCGGGCAUCAAUGGGAGCAACAGAUUUUCCAUGUAAACUUGUUAAAAGCUGGAAGAAGGCCGAGCGGUGGUUGGCUGAGGCUGAACUAGAAAGUGCAGAACUUGGCCCUGAAAUAAGCGGGGAUGUUAGGGAGACACCAGGGGAGGAAAGAGUACAAAUUGAAGAGCGCCUGGCAGCUAGUCAGGGAGGAGACUUGGUUCAGGUUAUUUGCGCCUUCCGCGAUGUCUUUCGAGAGGAACGUGGGUGGGUCGCACACCCUGCCUAGAAGAGUGGUGUGAGAGUGAUGGCGCCCUGACCCCAACCAUUUAUAUGGCCCCAUGAAGCAGGAGCUCUGAAAGAUGCUUGGACGAGGGGUAACAGUCCCCUCACGGGGUCUGUGGCAAAGCCUGAUGGGACCUUACGUCUCAGUGUAGAUUUCAAAUGCUGGAGCUGCUUUCGAUGCCUUCCCCAUGCCCCAGCUUUUAGAAAGAAUAGAACAGGCCCGCUACAUAACGAUGCUUGACCUGUCUCAAGAGUACUGGCAAAUACCCAUGGCCACAAAAGACGAUGCCAAAGCUGCUUUUGGGACCCCAUGGGGCCUAUAUGAAUUUUGUAGAAUGCCCUUCAGCCUGCACGGGGCGGCAGCCCCCUUCCAAAGACUGAUGAACCGAGCUUUGGCCUUACAUGGUGCCCCACACACCAGACGCUGCCAACAGGCGCCGUGCGUGAGUGCAGGGACAGCGAGAGCCCGAGCCGCCUUCUAGCUGAGAUCUCUCCUGGGGAGACGUGGCUGCUGCACUGGAGCCCGUGGCAGUAGAUCUGCAGGGAGGAGCUGAGGGUGCAGAAGUCCCUCGUGUCGUGCAGAGCGGGACGGGGGGCAGGAGUCCCUACAGCGGUCGGCAUCACAGCCAGUAAAACAGCAGCUGCAGACGGAGCCAGUCCAGCACCGGGAGCUUUGGGGGCAGGACACAAUGCAGGCCAUGCAACCCCCUUGUGAGACCGAGCUGCCCUCUGCGACCCCACAGCUGGCACUGUGGGAUGAGCUCCCCACCCCAGAGGCCUGGCACCAGCUCUCCCGUGGCCUCUGCUACUGGGAAGCCGAGGGCCCAAGGAAGAUUUGUCGCCGCCUGUGGGAGCUCUGCCAGCGCUGGCUGGAGCCCCAGCACUGCAGCAAGGAGCAGAUCCUGGAGCUGGUGGUGCUGGAGCAAGUCCUGGCCAUCCUGCCCCAAGACAUGCAGAGCUGGGGGUGCGGGUGCCAAGUGGAGGCCUCUGCCAGGGCUGUUAACCUGGCCGAGGGGUUUCAGCUGGGGCAGGCAGAAGAUGAGAAGCUCCAGGUCACAGUGCGUGCAGCACCCAAAGGUCCAUCGUGGGGACAGGCCUCUGGUGGAGGCAGGAGAGCAGGAAACCCCAGGGCCCGAGGACGAGCUGCCUCAUGUUCUCCAUGAUGAGCUGCCAACACACCAAGAGUCAGGUCCUUACCAGCCUUUUCGAUAUAUAUGGUUAACAAGGGCUCGACACCCAAAGAGCAUCAGUAACCCCCAACCCCCUCUUAUAACUGUUGGCUACUGGGUAUAGGUCAGCUCCCCAAAGAAAGAUAACUUUCUGUUAACUGUUUUGUGUGUGUAAGCUAUAAUAAAUUUGCCUUUAUUUCACUCCCAACUUUACCUCCGCUAUCCAAAACUGAAUCAAACAGCCCAGUUGGCCUGUGAAAAAAUUGAUACACUCACAGUGCCUAGCAGGCCUGUGACACUGUUUUUAGGGCAAAGUCUGGUACAGGGAAUGAGCCCAUGGGGAUUUCCUCUGCUGAUGAGUCCCAGGGAGCCUCCACAUCACAGGAAUCUGCACCGGGACAAAGGCCUUGGUAUGAACCUUCACAUGGACUUUGGGGGGAGUCUCAGGCUUUGUGACACUCUGGGCCUAAGAGUGGGAA